rnacentral:rRNA from 1 species
AUGGCAUUCUAUUCAGAUCAUCAUGCUUAUGCGAGCAACACUACAAACAACACAGAAAGUAUUCAAGAACUGAUAAGUAAGAUUUCCCAUCAAUUAGAUGAUUUAGCUCGGCAGCGAGAGGUAGUUUUUGAGGAUAGGCCUAGCUCUUAUGCUCCUUAUUCUAGAGGUAAUCCUUAUGUUGCUCCUACAUGCCAUAUUUGUGGAUCUCAGGGCCAUUCACCCGCUGAAUGUCAGCGUGGUUACUCUCACCCUCCCGAUUGUUAUGGCAUGAGCUUCGCCCCACAGCCUAGCUCAUACCAAAACAAUUACACACAUGGGUGGCCUGAAAACCAGAAUAUGUCAUAUAGGAGCAAUAACCCUGAGAUCUCAUCGUUUGCCUCUAGUUAUCCAAUGCAGGGAUUUAGGUAUGAAGAGGAGAGCCACAACUAUGCUCCACAACAGAUUUAUUCAGCUCCUACUCAUAUACCUCAACAUCAGGACAUGUUGCCAAUGGAGUUAAAUGGUCCUCCAUUUGGUCAACCAACAUCUUCAACACAAGUGCCCACACAAGAUGACUUUGAUGAUAUAGACAAGCUCACAUUGCUUGGUCUCGAGUUCACUUCGAGUGCCGAAGAUGAUCCAAUUAGGCCGGUGAUACUAGAGGAAAUGAAGAAGAUUAAGAGUGGAAAGGAGCUAGUGGAAGAAGUAAGGAAGAUUGAGAAGAACAUCAACGCUGUCAGUACUAUCUCUUCCCUCCUUGAGCUGAGUGUUGCCGGGAUAUCCCUUGAGGUGUGUGAGGUUCCAACACCUUCACAUUUAGCUGAGCAAGAUAGCGAGAGUCCAUAG